rnacentral:rRNA from 1 species
GACGAACGCUGGCGGCGUGCUUAACACAUGCAAGUCGAGCGGUAAGGCCCUUUCGGGGGUACGACGAGCGGCGAACGGGUGAGUAACACGUGGGUGACCUGCCCUUAGCUCUGGGAUAAGCCUGGGAAACUGGGUCUAAUACCGGAUAUGACUCCAUAACGCAUGUUGUGGGGUGGAAAGCCUUGUGCGGCUAGGGAUGGGCCCGCGGCCUAUCAGCUUGUUGGUGGGGUGAUGGCCUACCAAGGCGACGACGGGUAGCCGGCCUGAGAGGGCGACCGGCCACACUGGGACUGAGACACGGCCCAGACUCCUACGGGAGGCAGCAGUGGGAAUCUUGCGCAAUGGGCGAAAGCCUGACGCAGCGACGCCGCGUGGGGA